rfam:Trichoderma virens Gv29-8 TRIVIscaffold_6, whole genome shotgun sequence.
UUUUUCUUUCUACAGGAGAAUCAUUUCUAUAGUAUUCGUCUCUUGCUUUGGUUCCCAAAAGAGCCAUCGAAUCCACCCUGGUUGAUGAUUGUAUAUCCUCAGCACCCAAGAGUGAAAAUUUUUCUGGUCCUCUCGAUCUGUCUGCAAGGAUGGCGGCGUUGCCUUGCGCAAUUGCUGUAUAGAGAGUUGUUUUCUUCUUGAUGAUCUCGACCCUGUUCGUGGUCUGCCUUUGGGCGCAUGGGCAGGGUGGGUGUUGAUGGACGUCUGACAGGC